AGUCUGAUAUGAAACCCAAUGAAAAAUACUUUUCUAUUAUUUCACUCUACCAUAGCCAUGGGCUUAAGGAAUCGAUCUUUCAAUCAUCAUAGGACAACUCCUCUCAUCUACCGAGGUUGAUAGAUCCCAUCUUGGUGCGAUCUGGUUCCUACAAUGGAUAUGCUAUAGCCAACAUACACCUCAGGGUUUCGAAUGGCUAGGAGACCGAGUUAUGGUGUAGUCAAACUAUAACACACUCAAGGUGAACCAUCGAUGCACCUCAGAUCAAAGAACUAGACACAC
rnacentral:lncRNA from 1 species